rnacentral:rRNA from 1 species
UACGGGGGGGGCAAGCGUUGUUCGGAAUUACUGGGCGUAAAGGGCUCGUAGGCGGCCAACUAAGUCAGACGUGAAAUCCCUCGGCUCAACCGGGGAACUGCGUCUGAUACUGGAUGGCUUGAAUCCGGGAGAGGGAUGCGGAAUUCCUGGUGUAGCGGUGAAAUGCGCAGAUAUCAGGAGGAACACCGGUGGCGAAGGCGGUUCUCUGGGCAUGUCCUGACGCUGAGGAGCGAAAGUGUGGGGAGCGAACAGG